AUGCAGAAAGAUGAUCUUUCGACUGAGCUGAAGGCAAAUUUCACCCUACCGCCAGAGGAAGAUCCGGAGAAGCCAGCUAAAGAGCAAUUAAUCAAGUCUCAUGCUCUUAAGAAGAUGGCAGACCUAUUCAGGAGGUGGAAGAAUGAGCUGAAAACGUUUGUCGACAAAGUAGAGACACCAAAAUUCAUCGGCCGGUAUGAGAAGAUCAGAGAUCACUGGCCCGCAUUUGUGGCCCACAAGACAUCAGAAAAGAGUAAGAAGAUGUCAGCGACAAACAAGAAGAAUGCUGCGAAAAAGAAGCUUCACCAUCGCACGGGGUCAGGCGGCUACCUCAAAGCCCGACCUAAGUGGGCCAAGGCUGAGAAUGAUCUGCUUGAAAAAGGGAUCGAACCACAGACAAUGAACUGGACAGACCGUUGCCGGACAUGGUUCUUCGGGGCUGGCGGAACCUUGGACCCUGUAUCAGGGAGGUGCGUUUGGACGAACGAGCCUUUGAGAAUACCAGUCAAGAAGAUUCAGCAAUAUAUCGAUGCAGCGCAGGAAGGGACGUUCGUUCCAGACAGAGAGAACGACGAGCUCACAAUGGCCCUCGGGAAUCCUGAGCACCCUGGACGGACACGAGGCACGCCAGGCUCCGUUCCGUGGAAGGCUGGUUUUUCGGACGCAGGCGGUUACAAAAGCCAGGAGAGGAGGAAAAAAUGGAGCAGACCCAAAUUCAGAAGCUACAUGAAAGGGUUCAAGCGCUAG
rnacentral:rRNA from 1 species